GGAAGACAAAAACAGUUCAAUGACAGGCUUGGAAACAAAACACAAGAUGCUGAAAAAGAGACAAAAAUGUUUAUCCUGCUGUGAAUCAAGCCCAAUAAUAUCAAACCAAGAAGGCACAGCCAUGUUCACAUUUAAUGGAACAGAUUAACAGACACAUGCAAGUAAUCUGAGACAACAGUUUGGCAUUAUACCACAUUACAGUAUGGAUACCUGAAAUCUCUGCUUGCCAGGAGGCACUAAAGCCAGCCGCAUAAUGCGACUCUGAGACAGGG
rnacentral:lncRNA from 1 species